rnacentral:lncRNA from 1 species
UCAUUAUUUUCAAUUUAAAAUGGCGGAAGAGAAAGUGACUAUGGAUGUCCGAAAUGACGGUGUUCCCCUCAUCAGAUCAUCCAAUCCGACGGUGAAUGUUCAUGCUAUUCAAAGUAAGCUUAUAGUGAUUACCUACUAUUCUAAUCUUAAUAUUUUGAAAUUAAGUGAACAAAUUUUUAAUCUACAAUCUUUUUACAAACUUUUAUUUCCUUUUCAUAAGACAUCUUUAAAUAUGAAUUGCCUUUUAAGUUAUUACUCCCUUGAAUUUGUGAAUCAAAUACCAAAAUAAUGAGUAGUGGUAGUACUGCUUAUAGAAUAAAAACCACAAGUGGGUUUGCCUGUCAGGAAGCAACCACCAAGAAAACAAUUGCUCUAAAAUACUUAUAGCAAAACAUUACAUGUUGCAACACAAUUGAAAUUUUUGAUAAAAAACCGAUCAAACAAAAACCUCCAAAAUACAAACUUUGUCCAUUAAAAAAGAAAAAAAGUUACAUAUUAACCAAACUAACUAGAAAAGUAAUCUGUAACAAAAUAUUUGUAUUUUAUUUUUGAAUAAUAUAUGAAUAAUAAUAGUAAAUAUUUUAUAUACAAUUUAUUGGUUCGAUUUAGUUUUUUUUUUUUUUCAGUAAAACCAAACCAAAUAAUUUCAUUUAAAAAAAAAAUUAAAAUCAAACCAAAUGUCAGAUUUUUUUAAUCAGAAAACCAAACCACGAACAAUCCUACUCUCUUUGUUUCAUUCUACCUGGACUUUGUUGAUUUGGUCCACCGCUUAAGAAAACUUAAAUUAGGAGUGUGUUUUAGCAAAUUAACUUUAUUAAUGAUGUUUUGAAACAUUAAAUUUGAAUAUUACUUACUUUUUUAUUUAGUUAAGUAAAGGUAAAAGGAGAAAAAUAUAAUAAAAUUAUCUUGAUUUCAUAAAUUGAAUAAGUAAAUUAUAUUGAAAAAACUAUUUUUAGUGUAAGAGACAAGUAAAAUGAAAUGGACGGAGUAUUAUUAGAUCUUAUUUGUUUCACAUUGUACUAUUUUUAAUUAUCUUUAAUUAUAUAUAUUAUAUUGUUUGAUGUUUAAUAUUAUUAUUUUAUGUAUAGAAUUAAAAUGUUGUAAAGAUCGAGAAAUCUGGAGUGAAAAUGUGAAGGAAAAAAAAAGGAAAAAUAUACUAAUUAAAUAAUGGGGGACAAUGUAAGAAUUUAAAGGAAUUAAAUGAAUUACGAAAAAUAAAAGAAAAAAAAUUGCCGAAAAAAUUAUUCUCCUUUUCUUCAUUGAAUGAUAACUUUGUACAAUGGCCUAUGUAUAUAUACAAGUAAGAGAACAAAAGCAAAACCAAACCUAAACACCUAAGGACUCCUAAAUAUGGUAAAGAAUAAUAAAGAAAUACACUCCUAAAUAAAGUAGGAUAUUAGCCUAAAUAGGGAUACAAAAGAUUAAUUUAGAGUGUACAAAAGGAAAUAAAUAAUAUUUACAAAGAUUUUCUGAAUAUGGAAUGAAAUAAAUGUGUUGAGGUUAAUAAUAUUCAGGUUGACACAAGUAAUUCACUGCAGUAGACGAAUAUACAAAUCAGAUGAAAUAGAUCAAUCAACCCGGUCCAAUGAAUAAAUUACAAUAUAAUCUCAACCCCCCCCCCCUCCUCAAGUUGGAGGGGACGAACGAAUACCUAACUUGCGCAAACACUGUGAUGACGAGGACCUGUAAGUGAUUUUAUGAAUAGAUCAACUAAUUGAGAGGUAUAUGGAAUAAAUGAAAGUGAAAUAAGUCCAUCCAACAACUUUUUUCGAGUGAAAUGACAAUUAAUCUCAGCAUGCUUUGUUCUCUCAUGAAACACGGAGGUUCUUAGCAAUACGUAUUGCUACCUGACUAUCUAAAUGUGGAGGAAUAAAAAUGAUAUUGGAAUGGAAAUAUCUUGAAAGAGAUGAACCAACUAUGUGAUCUCGGCAACGACGCGCCUCAUAGAAGGUACUCAGCCUCUGCUGUGUUAAGAGAAAAAAAGGUUUUCUUCUUUGACUUCCAAGAGAUUCGAGAACCCCCAAGUGAUAUAUAAAAUCCACAAACCAAUUUUCUUGAAUUUUAACACAUUUCCCAAUCUGAUUCAUAAAAAUUAUGAAGCUCAAAAGAGGAAAAGGCAUUGAGAAAAAUGACCAAACCUGGUUGCUUUGAUAAGUAACGAAGAACACGUAAUGCAGCAGUGUGAUGAGUUAGACAAGGAUCUUGCAUGAAUUGGCUAAAAUAUUGAAAAAUGAAGGCAAGAUCCGACUUUGUGUGAGUAACGUAAUGCAACUUACCAAGAAGAUGUCUAUAUAUAGUGGGAUUAGGAAUAACAUCCCCGUCAUUUACCCUUAGCUUUAUUAUAGGAUCAAGAGGAGAUGAAAUAGGAGACAUAUGUGUGACAUCAAAUUAUUUUAGGAGAUUAAUUAAGAACUUUCAUUGUUAAAGUAUGAUACCAUGAGGUUCCUCAAUAUCUCUAUGCCUAAGAAAAAAUGUAAAUCUCCCAAAUCCUUUAUUUUAAACUCCUCAUGUAGAAAUAACUUCAAUGCGUUGCGAUACCCCAUACUUUUUUCUAGCUCAGUUUACCUCUUAAAAUAUCAAGGGUAAACUUUAAAAAAAGAUAACCCUUUAUACGAGUAGAAUUUUCCAGUUGUAGACCCGUGAACAUGUAGAUAAUUGAACCAUCUUUCCAAUGAUACCAAUUUCACCUUUAUUCGAUACUUGGUUAAGAAGUUAUGGUGAUUUUAAUGAAAAUAGUAGAACACCACGAUAAGCACUCCGUCAUGGCGAGGGAAAAAUUUGCAAUUGUUCGAUUUUCAGUGGAGUACCGCGAUUAGCUUGCGUCAUGGAGAAGUUCCAAUUCCCGUUCGUCCCAUUUCAGAAGGUCAAUGCAAUUUGCCUGUAUCGCGUCAAAAUUUUCAAUUAGACAGACACCACAUCGCAGUGGAGUGCAAAAUGACACUCUUCCUUUUCUAGUGACGCCAAAGCCCAAAAUGGCGUUCAUCCAUUUUCCAGUAAGCUACCGUGAUUGUACCACAUCGCGGUGGGGCUCAAAAUUGGGAUUUUCAUUUUCGAGUAAAAUUUUUAAAAAGGCAAUUUAGUCAUUCAUCAAGCCCCCAAAUUGUGAGAAACAAGGAAUUUAACCUAUCCUAAGUACAUUAUGCAUACUUUUCGUCAAAAUUACUCUCCAAGAAAAUCCUAGAACUAAAAUCUUAAACCUCAAGAAUCCAAAUUCCACCAUUCUUUUUCAAAGAUAACCCAAAAUUCAAUAUAUUUAAGAAAUCAUCUUCAAAAGUACAAAUAGGAAUUCAAUUUCAAGUUUAUUUGUAAAUUUCAACAAUUGAGCUAUGUAGGAUUUUCAACAUGUAUAAUUCUUUCAUCCUUGUGCCCAAAAUUAUUUUUAAAACUGAAUUCUAUAUGUAAUUUUAUAAAUUUCAGUUUAGGAUUUAUACCCACGUAUUACUAUUUGAAAAUUAUGAGAUUUUGAGAGAUUUAGAUGUUGAAUUGCAUGUCUACUUUCGUACAUUUAUGCGUAUUGCUGAAAUUUUUAGAUUUUGAAUUGAAUUAUCAAUAUUUUCAUUAUCAAGCAUGAACUUUAUGAUGAUUUGACAUGAAUUUGAUGCAUGGAUUUUUAAGCCCUAGUUUAACAUUGAUAUUUUAAGAAUGACAAUGCUUUAAGCAUCCUAUAAUUAGUUAUUUUCAGAUUGUUAUAAAGAUUCGAUCUUUGACCCUCCGUUAAGAUAUGGAAUCCACUUUACAGUUUUAUUACAGUUUACAGAAAAUAGAUUUAUCUUUGCUUGCAGUUUGAAAUAGAUAGAUGCAUAAUUAGUUUUCAUUAUAAAUCCUUAUGCUAGUUUUAAAAGUGGAUGUCCAACAAAAUGAGCAUAUUGAUUAAAGAGAGUAGUAUUUAGCACCAAGUUGGAUAUGUUCUCAUGUCCUGAAAAUCCGAUCCAAUGUAGGUACAGAUUAUAGGAUUAUUCCCAUUUCUAUAUGGAUGACAGUUAUAGAUGUGAUCACAUAGAUUAGGUUAUACUCCUUAGCAAGAGUAUGACAUCUCCUCCCCAACGUGAGGUUUUCCCAUAAGGGAACUAGACGUUGGAUACUAUGAUAGCUCACAUAGUGUAUGCGAUUAGAAGAAACUCCCUACUGCUUACAGAAAAGAGUAAAGAAUAACAAAAAAAUCUUUUAGAAACUAAGUGUAAAGGCUCAUGAUUUUAUUCAGAUAUUGUUUUAUACAAGUCAUUAGCUACUAGAUUUCAGCUUUCAGUUUACAGAUAUAAAAGUGAGUCCUUUCUACACUUAGACAGUAAGAUUUCCAGAUAGAAUACAAGUAUAACUUUUAGAACUAUUUGUUAUGACUCACUAGAUUUAUAUAACAUGUUUUAUCACUCAUGAUCAUGAUUCUCAGUUUUUAGUUAUUUAAGCUAUUGCAAGUCAUCUAUACUUAGCAUACAUUUUUUUUUUGUAAAUUUACACUAAUUUUGAGAUAUUGUUUUACUUAUGCAUUCACCUCCAUAUACUCAGUAUAUUCCAGAAGUACUAAUCCACAUAUACGUUUAUGUUCUACAUUGUCUCAUAAUGUAGGUUUAGGUGACCAGUUUUAGUAGCAUGAGUGAUUUCGAGCAUCUCUUUCUAUAUCCCGAUACUUGGUAAGUCCUCAUAGUUUGGAAACCCAGUCAUUCAGAUUUUCUAGUUUAUUACAGUAGUUGAUUCAGUAUUUUUUAGUAAGUUCAAGUCAGCUAGGGACUUGUUCCAGUGGCUCUGUAGUUUUUAGUAGUAGAGGCUUGUCAGACUGCUAGACAAAGUUCAUAUUUUUAGUAUCUCUUUACUAGACUUUGAGUAUAAUAUUUUUAGAUACUUUGAUCAAAUGAUUUCAUCUUAGAUUAUACAGACUUCCACAUUGAUAUUAUGUUCAUAUUUCUCUAUUUAUGAGUAUCCAGAUUUAGUAGAAGGCUUAUAGGUUUAGCUUAAGGCUACUUGUAGUUUUGAGCAUUAAGUGAUGUCUCGGAACCCAUUUUUGGAGCUUUACAAACUUAGUAUCAGAGCCUAAGGUAAUAAGAGUCCUAGGGAGUCAUACAAGAUGUAUUACAUAGAGUUUUGAUCAUGAAUGUAAAGUGCACUACAUUUAUGAGCAAGAGACUACGGGAUAUUUUUAGGAAAUCAUCUCUUUCUUUUAUGAUCUAUUAUGCUUACAGUAUCUAUAUCUUCUUUUAACUCGUACUUUUAUAUGACAGUUGAAUAUGCUUCCUCGCCAAGCUAAUGUACGAAGAAAUGAUAACUAUCUACCCUAACCCAUUGAUCCUCUAAAUGAUAAUGUAUCCCAUGCUGAAUUUAGGGGUGUCUUUCAGGUGUUAGCCCAAGUUAUGACUGCUAAUGUUUAGAGCAACCAUCAGGUGGUAGUCCCACUUCAGCAGAAUAGGGAUUUGUAGAAUCCAAAAUUUAUGACUUCAUGAGAAUGAAUCCGCCUGAGUUCUUUAGAUCAAGAGCAGAUGAGGACCCACAACUUUACAUAGAGGAGAUAAGAAAGAUUACCCAGAUUAUGCAUGUUACUAAGAAAGAGUGUACAGAGUUGGGAUUUUAUAGGCUAAAGGAUGUGGUAUAUGAUUGGGUGUUUAUAUGGAAGAAUGACAGAGGUGAAAAUGCAGAUCUUAUGAGUUGGCAGGUAAUUCAGGAUGCAUUUUUAGAUAGUUUUUUUUGCAUAAAAUGAGAGAAGAUAAGGUAGAGAAUUUUGUGAACCUGAGGCAGGGCUCGAUGACAGUGAAAGAGUACUACCUUAAGUUCAACCAGUUAUCUAAGUAUGCCCCUGAUAUGAUGGUUGACCCUUGGGAAAGUAUGAGUAAGUUUGUUACUGGAGUAUCUAGUUUAGUAGUCAAGGAGUGUAGGACUGCUAUGCUUAUAGGGGAAAUGGAUCUUAUGAGGUUGAUAAUUCAUACAUAACAGACUUAGGUAAAAAAGUUAAAAGGGAGAGAGAGGGGAAAUAAGAAGGCUAGAACUAGGCAAUUUUAGUAUGGCUAGAUAGAUUGGGAGAGGCAAACUAUUUACAGUUUCAUAAUCGUUCAUCUAUGCUAGCGCCAUCUUCAUCCAGUUCUCCCACCCCUAAAGCUAGACAAGAGCAGUGAGGUAAGACUUCUAUGUCUAGAUCUCAUAAUAGUAUGAGUGGAAAUCCCAAUUAUCCUCUAUGUGCUAAGUAUGGUAAGAAUCAUCUUGGUGAGUAUUUGUUGGGAUAGAAAGGUUGUUAUGGUUGCGGUAAGUUGGGACAUAGAAUUAAAGAGUGUCCUCAUGUUGAGCAGGGAAAUAGGGAUGUUCGUCCCCAGACUUAGGCUACUUGUGGACCAGCUCCUCUAGGUUGCCCAGUUCCUCCUCAGGGCGCAUCAUCCAAUACCACUGGCGGUUAGUGCCAAAAUCGAUUUUAUACUUUACCAUCCCAUCAAGAGCAGGAUAGUUCACCAAAUAUUGUCACUGGUAUUCUUUGUGUCUUUCAUCUUGAUGUUUAUGUGUUGUUAGACCUUGGGUCAAAUUUCUCUUAUGUGACCUUACUAGUUGCAUUAAAGUUUUAAAUAGGUCUUGAAAAAAUCCCUGAGCCCUUCUUAGUUUCUACCCUAGUAGGUGAUUCAAUUGUUGCCAAAUAGUUCUAUAAAAAGUGUCCUAUCACCCUUCUUCAUAAAAUCAUAUUAGCAGAUUUAAUAGAGUUAGAUAUGGUCGACUUUGACCUUAUUCUUGGUAUGGAUUAUAUCUAUUCCUAUUAUACAUCCAUAGAUUUUCACACCCAAAUAAUGAAGUUUCUAUUUACAGAUGAGCCAGUCUUUGAGUGGGAAGGCAAUUCAGUGUCUCCCAAGAGUCAUUUCAUAUCCUAUAUUAAAGACAGAAAGUUGAUCUCAUAAGGGUGUAUCUAUCAUCUAGUUCGAUUCAAAGACACUAGUCUGAGACUCAAAUAGUCAGUCAGUUCAUGUAGUCAAUGAGUUUCUAGAUUUUUUUCCUUAAGAUUUGCCAGGGGUACCUCCUGAUAGGGGAAUAGAAUUUGGUAUUGACCUUCUUCCAGAUACUCAGUCCAUCUCCAUUUCUCUAUAUAAUAUCGCUCUAUUCAAGCAUAAAGAGUUAAAACAAUAGCUUAAAUACCUCUUAGAUAAAGGUUUUAUAAGGACCAGUGACUCUCCAUUGGGUGCUCCUGUCCUAUUCGUGCAAAAGAAAGAUGGUUCUUUGUGAAUGUGCAUUGACUAUCAUUAGAUAAAUACAUUUACAGUCAAAAACAAAUAUCCUCUUCCUAGGAUUGAUUAAUUAUUCGACCAGCUCCAAGGUGAAAGUUAUUCCUCCAAGAUAGACCUUAGAUCCAGCUAUCAUCAGGUUAGAAUAAGGGAAGGUGAUAUUACAAAGAUAAUUUGCAGAACCUGCUAUGGUUAUUUUGAGUUUCUAGUCAUGUAAUUUGGUCUUACCAAUGCCCCAGCAGCCUUCAUGGACUUGAUGAACAGAGUGUUCAAAUAGUAUUUGGACAUGUUUGUCAUAGUUUUUAUCGAUGAUAUUUUUGUCUAUUCUCAUAGUGAGGAUGAUCAUGCAGACCAUCUUAGAAUUGUGUUGCAAAAUCUUAAGGAUCACCAGUUGUUUGUGAAAUUCAGCAAAUGUGAAUUUUGGAUAAGAUUAGUAGAUUUCCUCGGUCAUAUUGUUUCCACUGAUGGCAUUAGAGUUGAUAUCCAAAAGACAGAAGCAAUAUAAAACUAUCCUAGACCUAUCUCUCUAUCAAACAUUCAAAGUUUCUUAGGUUUAGCUGGAUAUUAUAGAUACUUUAUUGAUGUUUUUUUUAUUAUAUCCCUUAUAUCCAGAUUAACUCAGAAGAAAGUUAAGUUUUAGUGGUCAGAUUCCUAUGAGAAGACUUUUUAGGAGUUGAAGACUUAACUCAUCUCAGCCCCAGUUUUAGCAUUACCUGAUAGUACAAAUGUAUUCGUUGUAUAUUGUGAUGCCUCUAGAAUUGGUCUGGUUUGUGUUUUGAUGUAUAGAGGUAAGUUUAUAGCCUAUGUCUCUAGACAACUUAAGCCUCAUGAAAAUAACUACCCUACCAUAAUCUUUAGUUAGAAGCUGUUGUGUUUGCCUUGAAGAUCUGGAGGCACUAUCUUUAUAGGGUGUAUAUUGAUGUAUUUAUGGAUCACAAAAGCUUGCAAUGUGUGUUUAAUCGAAAGGAGUUAAAUCUUUAUCAUAGAAGAUGACUAAAAUUGUUGAAGGGUUAUGAUAUGAGUGUGUUGUAUCAUACGAGCAAGGAACAUGUAGUGGCAUAUGACCUUAGUAGAUUGUCUAUAGGCAGUAUUGCUCAUGUGGAGAAUGAUUAGAGAGAGUUAUUUCGGGAAGUUCAUCGGUUAGCUAGAUUGGUUGUAAGGUUGGUUGACUCGGCUGAAGGAAAUAUUUGGGGUCAGAGUAGCUCAGAAUCCUCUCUAGUUUUUGAAGUUAAAGAGAAGCAUGAUAAGGAUCCUAGUUAGGUCAAACUGAAGGUUUCAAUUAAAGAUAAAAAGGUAGAGGUUUUCUCCCAAGGGGGAGAUGGUGUGUUGAGAUACCAGAGUAGAUUGUGUUGCCAUGUGUUGACAAUUUUAGGCAUUAAAUUGUAGCAGAAGCGCAUGGUGCACAUUAUUCCAUUCAUCCAAGAUCCUCCAAGAUGUACCACGAUCUGUGAGAAGUCUAUUAGUGGUGUGAUAUGGAGAAAGAUAUCACAAAAUUUGUAGCCAAGUGUGUGACUUAUCAACAGGUUAAGGUAGAGCACCAAAGACCUGGUGGUACUUUUUAGGAGUUUGGUUUUCCUAUAUGGAAGUGGGAAGAGGUGAAUAUGGACUUUAUGACUGGAUUAACCCAUUCACGUUGUCAGCAUGAUUCGAUUUGUGUUAUUGUAGACAAAUUGACCAAAGCAGCCCAUUUCUUACCAGUUAACACGUCCUACACAACUUAAGAUUAUGCUAAGAUGUAUAUCAGAGAGUUGGUUAGAUUGCAUAGAGUUCCCUUGUCCGUCAUCUCAAAUAGGGGUACUCAUUUUAUCUCUCAAUUUUGGAAAGCCUUUCAGAAGGGUCAUGGUACCCAAGUUUAUCUCAGUUUAGCUUUUCAUCCACAGAUAGAUGGCCAGGAAGAGAGGACCAUUCAUACCUUAGAGGAUAUGUUGAGGGCAUAUGUUCUUGAUUUCAGAGGCAGUUGGGAUGACCACUUUCUAUUGAUUAGUUUGCCUAUAAUAACAGUUACCAUUCUUAUAUUUAGAUGGCCCUGUUUGAGGCUCUUUAUUGGUAGAGAUGUAGAUCAUCAUUCGGUUGGUUUGAAGUGGGUGAGGCCGCUUUGAUUGGGACAGAUAUAGUGUUUGAAGACAUGGAGAAAGUUCAAUUUAUUCGAGAGAGAUUGAAGGCAGCUCACAAUCGUCAAAAAUCUUAUAUAGACAUAAGAAGGAGAGAUUUUGUGUUUGAAGUAGAUGAUCUUGUGUAUUUGAAGGUUUCACCCAUGAAGGAGUGAAGAGAUUUGGCAAAAAGGGUAAGCUUAGUCCCUGAUAUGUAGGCCCCUACAAGAUUUUGAGUUGUGUGGGAAAGGUAGCAUAUGAGCUUGAGCUAUAUGCAUACUUGUCAGCAGUUCACCUAGUGUUCCAUAUGUCCUUAUUGAAGAAGUGAAUGGACGAUUCAUCUAUUGUAAUCCCUCUAUAACGCACAGAUAUUAAGAAUAACCUUUCAUACAAAGAAGUUCUAGUAGAGAUUCUCGAUCAUCAGAUUUGUAUACUAAGGAACAAAAAAUUUCCUUUGGUUAAAGUUCUGUGAAAAAAUCAGUUCGUUGAGGGUGGUACUUGGGAAGCAGAAGCAGACAUGCGUACCAAGUAUCCUUACCUAUUCUCUGCAAAGUCAGAUUCAUCCUGAGGUAACAGUCUUCCUUAAUUCAGUUCUUUUCCAGUCUCAGAUUCAGCCAUAUAGUUAUCUUCAUAUAAAUUUAUGAAUUCACCGAUUAGUUCAAUUUCUCAGUAUGAUUUAGAUUCAUUCAUGCAGAUUUGCUUCAGUUUUUCAUGCUAUCAUUUAGCCUUAGUCCCCCAGAAUCUUCCGUUUAACUAGUCUCAUUCGAGGAUGAAUAUUUCUAAGAGGGAGAUAUUGUGAUAUCCCAUACUUUUUCCUAGCUCAGUUUAGCUCCUAUAAUUUCAAGGGUCAACUUUAAAAAUAGAUAACUCUUGAUACGAGUAGAAUUUUCCAGUUAUAGAUAAUUCAACCAGCUUUUCAAUGAUACCAAUUUUGCCUCAAUCCAAUUCUCGCUUAAGAAGUUAUGGAAAUUUUAGUGAAAAUAGUAAAACACCACGAUAAGCACCGCAUCACGGUGAAGGAUAAAUUUGCAAUCGUAUGAUUUCCAGUAGAGCACCGUGACUAUCCUAUGUCAUGAAGAAGUUCCAGUUUCCAUUCAUCCCUUUCUAGUAGCUCUACACGAUUUGCUUGUAUCACAUCAAAAUUCCCAAUUAGACAGACAUCGCAUCAUGAUAGAGUGCAUAAUGGCACUCGUCCUUUUCCAUUGACGCAAUGCUAUUAUGCCGCAUCGCGUCAGUGGCUAAAAUAGCAUUCUUCCAUUUUCCAGUAAGCCACCGCGGCUGUACCGCAUUGUGGUGGGGCUCAAAAUUGGGAUUUCUAGUUUUUAGUAAAAUUUUAAACAAGGGCAAUUUAGUCAUUCCCCAAGCCUCCAAAUCGUGAGAAACAAGGAAUUUAACCUAUCCUAAGCACAUUAUGCAUACUUUUCAUUAAAAUUACUCUCCAAGAAAAUCCUAGAACUCAAAUCUUAAACGUUAAGAAAUCUAAAUUUCACCAUUCUUUUUCCAAGAUAACCCGAAAUUCAAGAUUUCUAAUUCAAGAUAUUCAAGAAAUCAUCUUCAAAAGCACAAAUAGGAAUUCAAGUUCAAGUUUCUUUGUCAAUUUCACCAGUUAAGGUAUAUGGGGUUUUCAACAAGGAUAAUUCUUUCAUCUUUGUAUCCAAAAUUAGUUUUAAAGUUUAAUUCUAUAUGAAAUUAUAUGAAUUUCAGUUUAGGGUUUAUACCAAUGUAUUAAAAUUUGAAGAUUAUGAGAUUUUGAGAGAUUUAGAUGUUUAAUUGCAUGUCUACUUUCGUAUUUUUAUGCAUAUUACUGAAAUUGCCAGAUUUUGAAUUGCAUUAUCAAUAUUUUCAUUAUAAAUCAUGAACUUUAUGAUGAUUUGACAUGAAUUUAAUGCAUGGGUUGUUAAGCCCUAGUUGAACAGUGAUAUUUUAAUAAUGACAAUGCUUUAAGCAUCCUAUAAUUAGUUAUUUUCAGAUUGUUAUAAAGAUUUGAUCUUUGAUCCUCUAUUAAGAUAUGGAAUCCAAUUUACAGUUUUAUUAUAGUUUACAAAAAAUAAAUUUAGCUUUGCUUACAGUUUGAAAUAGAUAGAUGCAUAAUUCGUUUUCAUUAUAAACCCUUAUGCUAGUUUUAAAAGUAGAUGUCCAACUGAAUGAGCAUAUUGAUUAAAGGGGGUAGUAUUUAGCACCUAGUUGGGUAUGUUCUCAUGUCCCGAAAAUACAAUCCAACAUAGGUACAAAUUAUCAUAUUAUUCCCAUUUCUACAUGGAUGACAGUUACAGAUGUGAUCACUUAGAUUAGGUUAUACUCCUUGAUAAGAGUAUGACAUCUCUCCCCAACGUGAGGUUUUCCCAUAAGGGAACUAGAUGUUUGACACUAUGAUAGCUCACAUAGUGUAUGUCGGUUAGAAUAAUCUCCCUACAACUUACAAAAAAGAGUAAAGAAUUAUAGAAAAGCUUUUAUUUAGAUAUUGUUUUAUAUACGUCAUUAUCUACUAGAUUUCAACUUUUAGUUUACAGAUAUAAAAGUUAGUCCUUUCUACAUUUAUACAGUAUGAUUUCCAGAUAGAAUACAAGUACAACUUUUAGAACUAAUUAUUAUGACUCACUAGAUUUAUAUAGCAUGUUUUAUCACUCAUGAUCCUCAUAUAUGUUUAUGUGCUACGUUGUCUCAUAAUAUAGGUUCAGGUGCUUAGUUUCAGCUGUGUGAGUGAUUUCAAGAAUCUCCAUCUACAUCCCGACAGUUGGUGAGUCAUCAUAGUUUUGGGACCCAGUCAUUCAAAUUUUCUAGUUUAUUAUAGUUGUUGAUUCAGUAAUUUUCAAUCAGUUCAAGUCAGCUGGGGACUUAUCCCAGUGACUCUCUAGUUUUUAAUAGUAAAGGAUAGUUAGAAUGCUAGACAUAGUUCAUAAUUUUAAUAUUUCUUUACCAUACUUUCAGUCUAAUAUUUUCAUGUAGUAUGUUUAGAUAAUUUCAGCUUUGAUCAGAC